rnacentral:rRNA from 1 species
AACGAACGCUGGCGGCAUGCCUAACACAUGCAAGUCGAACGAGACCUUCGGGUCUAGUGGCGCACGUGUGCGUAACGCGUGGGAACCUGCCCUUAGGUUCGGAAUAACUCCCCGAAAGGGGUGCUAAUACCGGAUAAUGUCUUCGGACCAAAGAUUUAUGGCCUUUGGAUGGGCCCGCGUUGGAUUCGCUAGUUGGUAGGGUAAAAGCCUACCAAGGCGACGAUCCAUAGCUGGUCUGGGAGGAUGAUCAGCCACACUGGGACUGAGACACGGCCCAGACUCGUACGGGAGGCAGCAGUGGGGAAUAUUGGACAAGGGGCGAAAGCCUGAUCCAGCAAUGCCGCGUGAGUGAUGAAGGCCUUAGGGUUGUAAAGCUCUUUUACCCGGGAUGAUAAUGACAGUACCGGGAGAAUAAGCUCCGGCUAACUACGUG